rnacentral:rRNA from 1 species
UCCGGUUGAUCCUGCCGGAGGUCACUGCUAUCUGAAUUCGGCUAAGCCAUGCCAGUCUGACCGAAAGGUCGGCGACCAACUCAGUAACACGUAGUUAAUCUGCCCUUAAGUAUGGGAUAACCCUGGGAAACUGGGAAUAAUACCGUAUAGGUAAGGGGUCCUGGAAUGGUCCUUACCUAAAGCUUCGGCGCUUAAGGAUGAGACUGCGGCUGAUUAGAUUGUUGUCAGAGUAAAGACCUGACAAGUCGAUAAUCAGUACGGGCCUUGAGAGAGGAAGCCCGGAGAUGGAUUCUGAGACAAGAAUCCAGGUCCUACGGGACGCAGCAGGCGCGAAAAUUUCACAAUGCACGCAAGUGUGAUGAAGGGAUUCAGAGUGCUUUCUCCUUACUGGAGGGAGCUUUUGUUAUGUCUAAAAAGCAUUUCGAAUAAGUGGUGGGUAAGACGGGUGCCAGCUGCCGCGGUAAUACCCGCGCCACAAGUGGUGACCACUUUUAUUGGGUUUAAAGCAUUCGUAGCCGGUUCGGUUAGUUCCUAAUGAAAUCCGGCAGUUGACUGUCGGGCGUGUUGGGGAUACUGCCGAGCUAGGGACCGGGAGAGGCCAAGGGUAUUCUUGGGGUAGGGGUAAAAUCCUGUAAUCCCAAGAGGACCACCUGUGGCGAAGGCGCUUGGCUAGAACGGAUCCGACGGUGAGGGAUGAAAGCCAGGGGAGCGAAGCGGAUUAGAUACCCAUGUAGUCCUGGCCGUAAACGAUGCUCAUUAGACAUUGGCGUUCUUAAGGGGGACGCCAGAGUCGUAGGGAAACUGUUAAAUGAGCCACCUGGGGAGUACGUUCGCAAGGAUGAAACUUAAGGGAAUUGGCGGGGGAGCACACAAGGGGUGGAGGCUGCGGUUUAAUUCGACUCAACGCGAGAAACCUCACCAGGAGCGAGAGCAGGAUGAAGGUCAGGCUGAUGGUCUUACCAAACACGCUCAGUGGUGGUGCAUGGCCGUCGUCAGUUCGUGUCGUGAGAUGUCCUGUUAAGUCAGGUAACGAACAAGACCCGCGCCCUAUGUUACUAUCGUUCCUUUCCGGGGGCGAGUACUCAUGGGGGACCGCUGGCGAUAAGUCAGAUGAAGGUGCGGUCGACGGCAGGUCCGUAUGCUCCUAAUCUCCUGGGUUACACGCGGCCUACAAUGGCCGGGAUAAUGGGAUGCCACUCCGAAAGGAAGAGCUAAUCCUUAAACCCGGCCCCAGUUCAGAUUGAGGACUGCAACCCGUCCUCAUGAAGCCGAAAUCCCUAGUAGUCGCUGGUCAUUAUCUAGCGGCGAAUAUGUUCCUGCUCCUUGCACACACUGCCCGUCAAGCCAACCGAGUGGAAUUUUGGCAAGCUCUUGCUUUUUGGCAAGAUCGAGCCACAGUUUUGCAAGGUGGGCUAAGUCGUAACAAGGUA